ACGGGUGAGUAACGCGUGGGAAUCUACCCAUCUCUACGGAAUAACGCAUGGAAACGUGUGCUAAUACCGUAUACGUCCUUCGGGAGAAAGAUUUAUCGGAGAUGGAUGAGCCCGCGUUGGAUUAGCUAGUUGGUGGGGUAAAGGCCUACCAAGGCGACGAUCCAUAGCUGGUCUGAGAGGAUGAUCAGCCACACUGGGACUGAGACACGGCCCAGACUCCUACGGGAGGCAGCAGUGGGGAAUAUUGGACAAUGGGCGCAAGCCUGAUCCAGCCAUGCCGCGUGAGUGAUGAAGGCCCUAGGGUUGUAAAGCUCUUUCACCGGUGAAGAUAAUGACGGUAACCGGAGAAGAAGCCCCGGCUAACUUCGUGCCAGCAGCCGCGGUAAUACGAAGGGGACUAGCGUUGUUCGGAUUUACUGGGCGUAAAGCGCACGUAGGCGGACUAUUAAGUCAGGGGUGAAAUCCCGGGGCUCAACCCCGGAACUGCCUUUGAUACUGGUAGUCUUGAGUUCGAGAGAGGUGAGUGGAAUUCCGAGUGUAGAGGUGAAAUUCGUAGA
rnacentral:rRNA from 1 species